CUCUGGCGACGGCAGUCCCGAAGUUUAUAAAAGGCAGAAAGUCGCACCCUUGCACGCCUCUUCGAACAGAAACUGGCAUGGCCAUGGCUUCCUCUGCCUCCGUCUCCGUCUCCGGGAGAGGAGGAGGCUUCCUCUUGCCGGCCGCGGUGCUGCUAGCGGUGGCGGUGGUACACGCGCGGGGGGCGCCGUGCGUUCCGCGGGUGUUCAGCUUCGGGGACUCGCUGGCGGACACGGGCAACUUCCCAUUCCUCUACGGCAACGACUCCCGCGAGCCCGCGCUCAGGACGCCCUACGGGGAGACAUUCUUCCGCCGCGCCACCGGCCGCUUCUCCGACGGACGCCUCAUCGUCGACUUCAUCGCGGACACCAUGGGGCUGCCGUUCGUGCGGCCGUACCUGAGCGGGCGAACCGCGGAGGACUUCGCGUCCGGGGCCAACUUCGCGGUCGGCGGCGCCAUGGCGCUGGGCCCGGACUUCUUCCGGGGGAGAGGGGUGCCCAUGGGCGACCGCAUGCACCUCGACGUCGAGAUGAAAUGGUUCCACGACCUGCUCGAUCUGCUCUGCCCCGCCGACCGGGCUGAUUGCACGGGCAUGAUGAAUCAAUCUCUCUUCUUGGUUGGAGAAAUUGGGGGCAAUGAUUAUAACAUACCUCUUCUCUCUAGGGUUCCCUUUGAGAAGAUUCGCACGUUCACUCCGAGUGUUGUUGCCAAAAUUUCUUCUACAGUCACUGAGUUGAUUGGUCUGGGAGCCAAAACAUUGGUAGUUCCUGGUAACCUCCCCAUUGGGUGCGUUCCAAACUACCUGAUGAUAUUCAAGAGUGACAAGAAGGAAGAUUAUGAGCCAGAGACUGGUUGCCUACGGUGGAUGAACGAAUUCUCGAAGUACCACAACAGACUUCUCAUUGAUGAGUUGGAAAAGUUGCGUAAGUUUCAUCGUGGCGUGUCAAUAAUCUAUGCCGAUUACUAUGGAGCUGCUAUGGAGAUCUACCGUUCCCCUGAACAAUUUGGGAUCGAUCAUCCUUUAGCAGCAUGCUGCGGUGGAGGAGGACCCUAUGGUGUGUCCAUGACUGCAAGAUGUGGAUAUGGAGAAUACAAGGUGUGUGAUGAUCCACAAAAGUAUGGAUCAUGGGAUGGUUUCCAUCCCUCAGAAGCUGCAUAUAAGGGCAUCGCAAUUGGCCUUCUAAGAGGAACAUACACACAGCCUUCAAUUUCUACCACCAUCAGUUCAUGCCCACAACUUACUGAACUCGGCUCUUCCGUUGAAUACAAGGUCCUCUAUGACUUGUAACUCUGUAACUUAAUUUUUUUGUUACUAUUAAUUAAUUAUAGAAAUAUGUUUACUUAGAGAUGUACAGAUUGUGACAUUUUGCCUGAUUACAGAACUGCGGUACUGUUCCACACCUCACGGUUGUUGCUCAAGUGAUUGGCUGGCUUUUAUUUUUCGUUCACUUUUUAUAGCACAGGUUUUAUACAUUGUUGUUCUGUUGAUCCGCCCUCUUAAAUAAUUUUUUUUCCUAUAAUUAUUUGGUCCUAACUUCGUAGGGUCCUUUUCCCCCCCUGUUGUUUAAGAGGAAGUAAACACAUCGGUUGCUCAUCUUGGCUGCUUGGCUGGUGCGGCUGAAAUGUUGGUUCUUCUAUUGCUGCUUUGGUAACUCAUAUUUUUACUUUGUCACAUUAGUUAGCGAUAAUUUCUGAUCUCCUAUAUAGCGAUCAUCCCUGAUC
rnacentral:rRNA from 1 species